rnacentral:piRNA from 1 species
UGGAGCAUCUCGCGCUACAGCUGUCA